rnacentral:rRNA from 1 species
AGCGAACGCUGGCGGCGUACUUAACACAUGCAAGUCGAACGGGGAUCGUCAGUGUAGCAAUACAUCGGCGGUUCUAGUGGCGCACGGGUGAGUAACACGUGGGUAACCUGCCCUUGAGUUCGGGAUACCCUUUCGAAAGGAAGGCUAAUACCGGAUACGUUCCUCGGAUUGCCAAAUCUGGGGAGGAAAGGUGGCGCAAGCUGCCGCUCUUGGAGGGGCUCGCGGCCUAUCAGCUAGNGGUGAGGUAACGGCUCACCAAGGCUAUGACGGGUAGCUGGUCUGAGAGGACGACCAGCCACACGGGAACUGAGACACGGUCCCGACUCCUACGGGAGGCAGCAGUGGGGAAUUUCCGCAAUGGGCGAAAGCCUGACGGAGUGACGCCGCGUGGGGACGAAGGCCU